UUGGUUUGCUAGGAUAUCAUUUAGGUAGAAGGGUUCUAUUGGCUUGAAAAAAAACUUUUCUCUAAAUUUUGUACCCCCAUAUAAGUAGAUGAAGAAGCAAAAGAGAGAAAUGAGUAGAGGAGUUAGAGAGAAGAAAGGCAUAAUAAGGCAAAGGAAUAGAUGGAGCUGAAACAAGUCCAAAUCAGCAGUUGGUGACAGUUGUGUCCAUUCCCUAUAGGAUGUUUAUAGAGCACCCAUAUCUGAUGCAAAAUCCUUGACUUACAAUCUGCUUCUGACCCUAAGGGACUGACAAGGUCUUCAAGGAAAUCACCAAAUCCAGACAAAGUGAGAAGAAAGCCUAAGAACUACGUACUCUACAGAAACAAGGAACCUUGUGACUAUCCUGAGAACUAUAACAGGAAUGCCUGCUUUAUUCUAUUCCAAUAAAUAAAGUCAAGGAUUGCAUCUGUAAUUUCACUGAUAUAAGGAACUCCUUCUUUGGCUGGGAACUGGGGCUAGAGAAGUUGGAUGAUGCGCCAAGUUUCACACAGGUUGUGUCAGAGGGGAAAACUGAAUGUGGAUCUUGGAACCCAAUAC